UACGUAGGGGGCAAGCGUUGUCCGGAUUUAUUGGGCGUAAAGAGCGUGUAGGCGGCCAUACAGGUCCGUUGUGAAAACUGGAGGCUUAACCUCCAGACGUCGAUGGAAACCGUAUGGCUAGAGUCCGGAAGAGGAGAGUGGAAUUCCUGGUGUAGCGGUGAAAUGCGCAGAUAUCAGGAGGAACACCGGUGGCGAAGGCGGUUCUCUGGGCAUGUCCUGACGCUGAGGAGCGAAAGUGUGGGGAGCGAACAGG
rnacentral:rRNA from 1 species